rnacentral:rRNA from 1 species
CAAUAGCGUAUAUUAAAGUUGUUGCGGUUAAAAGCUCGUAGUUGGAUUUCUGCCGAGGACGACCGGUCCGCCUCUGGGUGAGUAUCUGGCUCGGCCUGGGCAUCUUCUUGGAGAACGUAUCUGCACUUGACUGUGUGGUGCGGUAUCCAGGACUUUUACUUUUGAGGAAAUUAGAGUGUUUCAAGCAGGCAUACGCCUUGAAUACAUUAGCAUGGAAUAAUAAGAUAGGACCUCGGUUCUAUUUUGUUGGUUUUCGGAACUUGAGGUAAUGAUUAAGAGGGGACAGACGGGGCAUUCGUAUUACGGUGUUAGAGGUGAAAUUCUUGGAUCGCCGUAAGACGAACUACUGCGAAAGCAUUUGCCAAGAAUGUUUUCAUUAAUCAAGAUCGAAAGUCAGAGGUUCGAAGAU